CACCAGGUUGAUUCUGCCUGGUGUAGAUGCUAGUUUCUAAGAUUUAGCCAUGCAUGUUUUGUGAAUUCUUACGAAGGAACGGCGAACGGCUCAGUAAUAUUGCGUUAAUCUGGUCUAAAUAUAAAAAUAACUACGGUAACCUGUAGCUAAUAAUUUAGAAUGAGACGCAAAUUUAUCAGUUUGUUGGUAGUGUAAUGGACUACCAAGACUAUGACGAAUAACGGGAAAUUAGGGUUUUAUUCCGGAGAGGGAGCCUGAGAGAUGGCUCCCACGUCCAAGGACGGCAGCAGGCGCGAAAAUUGUCCACUCUUUUAUGAGGAGACAGUUAUGAAACGUGAAUAUAAGUUUGAAUUUUAAAAUAAUUUAUUUUAUGCAAUUGGAGGGCAAGUUUUGGUGCCAGCAGCCGCGGUAAUACCAACUCCAAGAGUGUCUAUGAARGUUGCUGCAGUUAAAGCGUCCGUAGUUUUUUUAUUGCAAUUUAAAAACUAUGAUUAAAUUAGUUAAGUUUCCAAUACAUUGUGAAACGGAUAGGGAAAAUUGUAUAGCUAGGUGAAGAAUGAAAUCUCAAGACCCUAACUCGACAAACAGAGGCGAAGGCGAUUUUCUUAUACGUAUUCUUAAAUAAAGGACGAUAGUUAGAGGAUCGAAGGUGAUUAGAGACCGCUGUAGUUCUAACUGUAAACUUUGCCGACAUUUCAUAUUGUUUUGAUAAGAAAGGGAGAAAUCUUAGUUUUCGGGCUCUGGGGAUAGUACACUCGCAAGGGAGAAACUUAAAGCGAAAUUGACGGAAGAACACUACCAGGAGUGGAUUGUGCUGCUUAAUUUGACUCAACGCGGGAAAACUUACCAGAGUCAAAUAUAUUUAUGAUUUUUUUAAAUGAAAUAUAUAAAAGUGGUGCAUGGCCGUUGCAAAUUGAUGGGUUGACUUUUAACUUAAUUGUUGAAACCAGUGAGAUCAUUUAUGACUGGUAUUUUAAAUACAGGAAGGAAAUGGCAAUAACAGGUCCGCACGCCCUUAGACAUUCUGGGCUGCAAGCGCAAUACAAUAUCUUGUUAUUUAUAUUUAUUUAUACAAUUAUAUGUAGGAUUAAUUCUUGUAAAUGAAUUAUGAAUCAGGAAUUCCUAGUAAUAAUAUUUCAUUAAGAUAUUAUGAAUUUGUCCCUGUUCUUUGUACACACCGUCCGUCACUAUUUCAGAUGGUUAUAAAGAUGAAGAGCUAAGGUUCUGAAUAUUUAUAACUAGAUAAAGUACAAGUCGUAGCAAGGUUGCAGUCGGUGAACCAUCAGCAGGAUCAUAA
rfam:Microsporidium sp. DP-1-19 isolate DP-1-19 16S small subunit ribosomal RNA gene, complete sequence.